GGAUGGGUGGCCGAGCGGCUUAAGGCGCACGAUUGGAAAUCGUGUGGGUUAAUACCCGCGUGGGUUCGAAUCCCACCCCAUCCG
rnacentral:tRNA from 1 species